rnacentral:lncRNA from 1 species
CUUGAUUGAACCCCAAAUCUGUCUUUGAACACUUUGGUAAGCAUGCUUGAAAGUCUCUUUUCUGUCUUGCCUUUGAAUAUGUCUUACAGGUGUAGUCCCCAUGGAGCAAAGAGAAUGCAAUGAAUGUUGUAUGACCAAACUCAUAAGCGUGAUUUUGGUAAAAGUUUAAAUCAUUAUAAUUUGAGAUCUCACAUAGCCCCCACUCUGAAGUGAUAUUUUCUAUAGGUUUCUGUUUUUGGAUGAUUAUAGAUCAAUAGAGUGUUUAUUUCCGUAUUCUGCUUUGCCAGCCAAUGAGUUUUUGAAGUAGAAAAACCUUUUAGCCCUCUCACCAUGCUUUACAAAUAAGCAAUUACUGAUAUAAAAGGGGCGUUCAGUAUCUGUAAAAUGAACUAGGUUUGUACCACGAUAAUGUUGUGCAGUACUUGUAGCUUGUUAAGGAAUUGCAGAGCUUAUUUUUGUUGCAUUCCUACAUGGCUUUUGAUAUAGACCACAGUAGAAAUAGUUAGCAUUCAGAAAUUAGUUACUAGUUCCAUUAUAUGAUGCCUAAAUUGCAGUGCUUUUAUAAUUUUCUCUUCAUCUGUGCCCUGCAGCAUUUGAAAUGUCGAUUCAAGCUUUCAAUAUAAUGUCUUGAUCAAAUUUAUCAUGCAACCUUUUCCUUGUAUGAGUUGCUUCAUGUCAUCUUGAUAGAAUUCUGAAGUGCUCAUCCUCAUCUAGUUCAAAUAAUUUGAUUUCGGCAUCUAGAAGAUUACUAAAUUUGAAAUGCUGCCAAUUUUUGGCAAGGACUUGCAAGUGUGUCAAUAUGGUAUUAAUGCAUGCAAUGGUCAUGGGAUUAAGUCUAGUUGCUACCCAUUAAUGAAAAUGGAGGAGGCGUCAAGAAAUGAGACUGACCAGCAUGCAAGAAGCGUGUUUGAAGCUUUUAGAAAGGUGGUUCAAUAGUAAUUCGUGUGGGUAUAUGUGUUUGAUUUACUGAAAGGGAAGUUUAUGUUUUGGUUUUAGUCUAAUGGAACUUUUGGUUACAAGGAAGGUCAUAUCACAUAUGGGCCUUUGCAUGUUUCUUAAAUUUGUUCUUUCUUAGAAAACUCUUUAGGCACUUGGAAACAAGAUUUCAGGGAUUAGUUCUGCUGAUUUCUAAGAAUAAAUUGGUGAGGCUAUAAGAUAUUGGAACUUAUGUUAGAAAAUCGAACUAGACAUAAGAGUAUUAUUCGAAUGAAAUUGAUCAAAUGAUUGUGAUAUUGAGUCUCAAAUUCGAUUGUUUUGACUUAUAAAAUUUACACAGUUGGGUUUUACAAUGUGCUGAAAUUAUCCUUUUGUCAUGUCGAUGUUGAGUUUUCAUUGUUUCUCUUCUUCCUUCUCUCUAAUCCUGUUGUUGGUAGGUGAAAGGUUGUUUAGAAUAAAGGGAAGAAUAAGACUACUUGCACAUUGAAAUGUGUACAUUUUUGAUUAAAUCUUUCUCUGUGGAUGGAAAAAGUGUUUUUAAAAUCAAUAUACCCAAAUUUGCCAAUUCAGGAGUGUAAACUAAGGUAUUCAUAUAGCAUGGCUCUAAAGGGGAAAGCCAACUAAGAUUUGCUGCUACAAGGAAUGGCUAGUGAUCAGUUGAUGUAGAUGUGUCUUCAGUGCAUGUUUUAUGCAAUAUAUAUAUAUAUAU